UACGUAGGGUGCAAGCGUUAAUCGGAAUUACUGGCGUAAAGCGUGCGCAGGCGGCUUUGCAAGACAGAUGUGAAAUCCCCGGGCUCAACCUGGGAACUGCAUUUGUGACUGCAAGGCUAGAGUACGGUAGAGGGGGAUGGAAUUCCGCGUGUAGCAGUGAAAUGCGUAGAUAUGCGGAGGAACACCGAUGGCGAAGGCAAUCCCUGGACCUGUACUGACGCUCAUGCACGAAGCGUGGGAGCAAACGAGGAUAGAAACCCGUAGUAGAUCC
rnacentral:rRNA from 1 species